rnacentral:misc_RNA from 1 species
GCCAUCAGGAAGCCGAAGGCAUGGAUCGGAUAACUCGGGUUCGGCACCAGCACCACGUCACCGGGUGACGUGAUGGCCUGCGCGACGUUGGCGAAGCCUUCCUUGGAACCGAGUGUCGCAACGACCUGGGUUUCCGGAUUAAGUUUCACGCCGAAACGGCGCUCGUAAUAGGCAGCCUGCGCGCGGCGCAGGCCCACGAUGCCCUUCGACGCCGAAUACCGGUCGGUCCGCGGCUUGCCGAGGGUCUCCUUGAGCUUUUCGAUCACAUGCGGAGUCCGGAUUUCCCAUGCCAAGGUCGAUGAUAUCGGCCCCGGCGUUCCGCGCGGCCGCCUUGGCCCGGU